UACAGAGGGUGCGAGCGUUAAUCGGAAUUACUGGGCGUAAAGGGCGCGCAGGCGGUUGAUCAAGUGGGAUGUGAAAGCCCCGGGCUUAACCUGGGAACUGCAUCCUGGACUGAUUGGCUGGAGUAUUGUAGAGGACAGUGGAAUUUCCGGUGUAGCGGUGAAAUGCGUAGAGAUCGGAAGGAACACCAGUGGCGAAGGCGACUGUCUGGACAAAUACUGACGCUGAGGCGCGAAAGCGUGGGGAGCAAACAGG
rnacentral:rRNA from 2 species